AAAGGCGCACGGCAAAACCCUGCGAUUUGUGGCGGGAAUCGGGAUAAGGAAAACGAAGGGGCCAAGGUGUUAAAAAGAGAGGCAGCAGCUUUGGCGUUUGAGUGCCUUCGGAUUGUAGAAAUGUGGUCGGAAGCUGAAGCUCCUCUCCCCAAAUGGGCAUCUACGCCUUGCAUUAUGGGCAUCGACGAAGCCGGCCGUGGCCCUGUUUUAGGGCCCAUGGUGUACGGAUGCAUUUACUGUGCUCGCUCUUAUCAGAAAGCUCUCGCUACCUUGAACUUUGCAGGUU